UACCUGAUAGUCCGGUUGUUAGGACUCUGCCCUUCCAUUGCUGGGGACUCAGGUUCUAUUCCUGGUCAGGGAA
rfam:TPA: Bos taurus chromosome 6, whole genome shotgun sequence.